CAGCCGCCGCGGGAAUACGAAGGGGGCUAGCGUUGCUCGGAAUUACUGGGCGUAAAGGGAGCGUAGGCGGACAUUUAAGUCAGGGGUGAAAUCCCAGAGCUCAACUCUGGAACUGCCUUUGAUACUGGGUGUCUUGAGUGUGAUAGAGGUAUGUGGAACUCCGAGUGUAGAGGUGAAAUUCGUAGAUAUUCGGAAGAACACCAGUGGCGAAGGCGACAUACUGGAUCAUUACUGACGCUGAGGCUCGAAAGCGUGGGGAGCAAACAGGAUUAGAGACCCGCGUAGUCCCUGUCUCUUAUAC
rnacentral:rRNA from 1 species